rnacentral:rRNA from 1 species
UAAUUUUGGUGAACUGAAACAUCUUAGUAACCAAAAAAAAAAAUCAACCGAGAAAUCGAAAUUAGUGGUGAACGAAAUUGAUAAAGGUACUAUAGCCAAUUAAUUUUUUUGAAUUUUUUAAAAAAGGUUAGAAUCCUGUAAAAAAAGUAAUUGCCCUUGUUAGUAAUGCGAUUUUACAUAUUUGCAUAAAAAAUGGAGUUCCAUCUUCAAAACCUAAAAACUUAGUAACAGAUAAAAAAAAGUACCGUAAGGGAAUGGUGAAAAAAGAAAUUUUUUUUGAAAAAAAACUAAAAUUUAAUGCUAAUAACAACUGAAGCUUUUCUAGUAACAGAAGUACCUUUUGCACAAGGGAUCAACGAGUUUGUAGUUAUGGCGAGUUUAGGUUUUUACGAUAAACGAAAUUAACGUGUUAAAAAGCAUUUUAAAAUGAAGUCUUAAUUUCAAUACCCGAAACCAGGUGAUCUAACCAAGAACAAGUAGAAAAAUAGAAAGAAAUUUUUAUUUGAUGACUGAACUCGUGUAUGUUGCAAAAUACUGAAAUGAUUUUUGGUUAGUGGUGAAAGGCUAAUCAAACCUGGAAAUAGCUGGUUUUCUGCGAAAUUUAUUUUAGUAAAGCGUUUAAAAACAACUUUCGGCGGUAGAGCUCUUUUUUAGUGAUGGGAUUUUUCAAUUUACUAAUCUAUUGAAAACUUCGAAUGCCGUUUUUUAGUUUUAAGCAGUCGGAUUUAGAGUGCAAAGAUUCUAUUUAAUCAAAAGGGAAACAGCCCAGAUUAAACGUUAAGGACCUAAAAAAUUAAAAAGUAAAAGGUUGUUAUAUAUUUAUUAGAUCUAAAAAAUAGGCUUGGAAGCAGCCAUUUUAUAAUGAAAGCGUAGUUGCACAUUAGGUUAAAUAUAUUGUGCCGAAAAUUUAAUGGGAUUUAAAAAAUUUUCCGAAACGGUAAAGUUCUUUUUUUGAACUGGUAGCAGAAAUGUUCUAUACAUUGAAAAAGUUAAACUGUAAAGUUUAGUGAAAUUAUUGGAAGUAAAAAUGUUGAUAUGAGUAGUAAUAAAGAAUAAAAAGCAUUCUCGCCGAAAGUUUAUAGGAUUUCUUACGUUCAGUUAAGCUUCGUAGAAAAGAAAAAUCUUGUUAGUUAAUUCGGUCUCUAAGAAAAUAAGUGAUCACUUAUUUUGAUGAGUUUUAUAAAUAAUGAAAUUUUUUGAAAAAAAUGUGACAAAAAGUUAUGCUUUUUCUAAGAAAUAAUCUUAUAAAAAACUAUCUUUUUCGAGAAAUAGCACUUUUAAUUUUACCGUACUUAAUCCGAAACAGGUUUACAGGUUGAAAAUACUUAGGCGUUGAGAUAACUAUAUAAAAGGAACUCGGCAAAAUCACUUUGUAUCCUUGGUAGAAAGAGUAACUUUAUUUUUGUAAAGUUGUCAUAAAAUUGGAAGAAGUACCUGUUUAACAAAAACACAAGUCUCUGCAAAUUCGUAAGAAGAUGUAUUGGGGCUGACAUCUGCCCGGUGCUGAAAAGUUAAGAAAAAAAGGUUUUUGCUUUUUUUUUAUGCUCCAGUAAACGGCGGUUUUAACUCUGAAAAUCCUAAGGUAGCGAAGUACCUUGUCGGCUAAUUACCGACUUGCAUGAAUGAUGUAAUAACUUCUUUACUGUCUCUUAUAUAGACUUAAUGAAAUUGGAAUGCUUGUGAAGAUACAAGUAAAUUAAUGAAAAGACAGAAAGACCCUAAGACCUUUACUAUAUUUAUUAACUGUAAUUCUUUAUUUUUUGUGUAGUUAUAGGUGGUAACAAAUUUUUUCAUAAAAAUGUCCCUUUGAAAUACCACUCUUUAAAUAAGGAGUUACUAAUUUUGAAAAGUAUAAGAAGAAAUUUAAUAUUUGGUAGUUUGACUGGGGCGGUUUCCUUUUAAAGCAUAACAAAGGAGUACAAAAGGUAAACUCAUAAAAGGAUUCUUUUAAUGGAGUAUAAUAGCACAAGUUUAUUUGACUGUAAGAAAAACAAUUCAAACAGGAGUGUUUAAAUAAGCUGGUUAUAGUGAUCCGGCAAAUUUGAAUGGAAAUUUUGUCGCAUAACGAAUAAAACGGUACCUUAGGGAUAACGGCCUAAUUACCCUUAAAAGUUCAAAUUGUUGGGGUAGUUUUGGGCAUCGAUGUCGGCUCAUCAUAUCCUGAAGCUGCAAAAGGUUUCAAGGGUUCGGUUGUUCGCCGAAUAAUAUGAUACGUUAGCUGGGUUCAGAACGCCGUAAGGCAGUUCGGUCCUUAUCUUUCAUUAACAUAAGAAAAUUGAAAAUUAUAACUUUUAGUACGAGAGGACCAAAGUUAAUAUACCUAUGGUUAAGCAAUUGUUUUUUAAGCAUUGUUGCGUCGCUACGUAUAUUAUAGGUAAUUGCUGAAAACAUUUAAGCAUGAAACUAACUUUAAGAAAUCAUGUUUUCUAACAACUAAAAUUGUAAAAGAGCAUUACAUCAAUAGGUUUUUUGUAAAAAGAAUAGUAAUAUUUAUAGCAAAAAAUUACUAAAAAU